rnacentral:rRNA from 1 species
AUGAACGCUGGCGGCGUGCCUAAUACAUGCAAGUCGAGCGAACAGAUGAGGAGCUUGCUCCUCUGACGUUAGCGGCGGACGGGUGAGUAACACGUGGAUAACCUACCUAUAAGACUGGGAUAACUUCGGGAAACCGGAGCUAAUACCGGAUAAUAUAUUGAACCGCAUGGUUCAAUAGUGAAAGACGGUUUUGCUGUCACUUAUAGAUGGAUCCGCGCCGCAUUAGCUAGUUGGUAAGGUAACGGCUUACCAAGGCAACGAUGCGUAGCCGACCUGAGAGGGUGAUCGGCCACACUGGAACGGAGACACGGUCCAGACUCCUACGGGAGGCAGCAGUAGGGAAUCUUCCGCAAUGGGCGAAAGCCUGACGGAGCAACGCCGCGUGAGUGAUGAAGGUCUUCGGAUCGUAAAACUCUGUUAUUAGGGAAGAACAAAUGUGUAAGUAACUAUGCACGUCUUGACGGUACCUAAUCAGAAAGCCACGGCUAACUACGUG